rnacentral:rRNA from 1 species
GACGAACGCUGGCGGCGCGCUUAACACAUGCAAGUCGAACGGAAAGGCCUGCUUUCCCUUGUGGAUUGCGGGUACUCGAGUGGCGAACGGGUGAGUAACACGUGAGUGAUCUGCCCCCAACUUGGGUAUAAGCCUGGGAAACUGGGUCUAAUUCCCGAUAGGACUGCAGGGUGGUGCCUGUGGUGGAAAACGAUUUUCUAGUGGUUGGGGAUGAGCUGGCGGCCUAUCAGCUUGUUGGUGGGGUAAUGGCCUACCAAGGCGGCGACGGGUAGCCGGCCUGGGAGGGUGGACGGCCAAAUUGGGACUGAGAUACGGCCCAGACUCCUACGGGAGGCAGCAGUGGGGAAUAUUGCACAAUGGGCGGAAGCCUGAUGCAGCGACGCCGCGUGGGGGAUGACGGCCUUCGGGUUGUAAACUCCUUUCGACCGCGAGGAAGCCACCUGGUUGGAAGGGUGGUGACGGUAGUGGUAGAAGAAGCACCGGCUAACUACGUG